ACGCUGGCGGCAGGCCUAACACAUGCAAGUCGAACGCUCGUAGCAAUACGGGAGUGGCAGACGGGUGAGUAACGCGUGGGAACGUGCCCUUCGGUUCGGAAUAACCCAGGGAAACUUGGGCUAAUACCGGAUACGUCCGUAAGGAGAAAGAUUUAUCGCCGAAGGAUCGGCCCGCGUCGGAUUAGCUAGUUGGUGAGGUAACGGCCCACCAAGGCGACGAUCCGUAGCUGGUCUGAGAGGAUGAUCAGCCACACUGGGACUGAGACACGGCCCAGACUCCUACGGGAGGCAGCAGUGGGGAAUAUUGGACAAUGGGCGAAAGCCUGAUCCAGCCAUGCCGCGUGAGUGAAGAAGGCCCUAGGGUUGUAAAGCUCUUUCAGCGGGGAAGAUAAUGACGGUACCCGCAGAAGAAGCCCCGGCUAACUUCGUGCCAGCAGCCGCGGUAAUACGAAGGGGGCUAGCGUUGUUCGGAUUUACUGGGCGUAAAGCGCGCGUAGGCGGGUCACUAAGUCAGGGGUGAAAUCCCAAGGCUUAACCUUGGAACUGCCUUUGAUACUGGUGACCUGGAGAUCGGGAGAGGUUGGUGGAAUUCCGAGUGUAGAGGUGAAAUUCGUAGAUAUUCGGAGGAACACCAGAAGCGAAGGCGGCCAACUGGCCCGAUACUGACGCUGAGGCGCG
rnacentral:rRNA from 1 species